AUUGAACGCUGGCGGCAGGCCUAACACAUGCAAGUCGAACGGUAACAGGAAGCAGCUUGCUGCUUUGCUGACGAGUGGCGGACGGGUGAGUAAUGUCUGUGAAACUGCCCGAUGGAGGGGGAUAACUACUGGAAACGGUAGCUAAUACCGCAUAACGUCGCAAGACCAAAGAGGGGGACCUUAGGGCCUCUUGCCAUCGGCUGUGCCCAGAUGGGAUUAGCUAGUAGGUGGGGUAACGGCUCACCUAGGCGACGAUCCCUAGCUGGUCUGAGAGGAUGACCAGCCACACUGGAACUGAGACACGGUCCAGACUCCUACGGGAGGCAGCAGUGGGGAAUAUUGCACAAUGGGCGCAAGCCUGAUGCAGCCAUGCCGCGUGUAUGAAGAAGGCCUUCGGGUUGUAAAGUACUUUCAGCGGGGAGGAAGGGAGUAAAGUUAAUACCUUUGCUCAUUGACGUUACCCGAAGAAGAAGCACCGGCUAACUCCGUG
rnacentral:rRNA from 1 species